CGCGUAGGCGACUCUUCAAGUCUUGUGUGAAAGCCCACGGCUUAACUGUGGAAGUGCACAAGAAACUGUAGGGUUUGAGUUCCGGAGAGGAAGGCAGAAUUCCCGGUGUAGCGGUGAAAUGCGUAGAUAUCGGGAGGAAUACCAGUGGCGAAGGCGGCCUUCUGGACGGAUACUGACGCUGAGGCGCGAAAGCCAGGGGAGCAAACG
rnacentral:rRNA from 1 species